UGAAGCAGAAUCAAAAAGUGAGAAUGGUGUAGAGGAGAUGAGGAGAUGUGGUGGCACUACUACACGCUCAUGGCUUAAUCAUAUCUUCUAGGAUUUAGUCUGGAGACAUAUCACCUUUUUCGAAAUCCAUAACUGUAGGAGGAGCGUCACACAUCCGCCCAAAAAGACUUCUCUCCUUUGUUGAAGAUGAAGAAGGAAAUCCCUACGGAUGUAGGAAAUAUGGUGGCACGACACGCUCAUGAAUCCAAUAUUUCAAGAAACAAAAUGGAACCAAUCAUCAACAGCAAAUAGGUUUAUUCUAUUUUAGCCUAAUUUAUCACAGUUGAUUGACAUAAUCUAGUUGGAAAGAAAAGUGACAAAAUGUACCAUCUUUAUCACAUGACCAUUAAGAAACUCUGUGAGCUGUCUUUUUUAUCUAGAUUAUGUUUUGAAUAGUGGUAAAUAAGGUCUGAAGGAAGAUAAGCCAUGUUGUGACAUUGAUGGAUGGUUUUAUUGUAUAUCAUGUGGGGGGAAAAAGAACUUGCUUGCGUAAAGAAAGCAUAUAAUUUUCUUUUAAAUUGUACAUAUUUUAAUACAAUCAUAGACAUGGAAGAUUGAAGAGAAAA